rnacentral:lncRNA from 1 species
GUGUUUGACAGCCAGGUCUUGGAAAGGAAGGCCAACAUGCCCUGGGCCGAUCAGACUCCAUCAUGUUGACUCCUGGGAGGCACAUUUUUGAGAAACAAUUAGGAACCAGGAAGCAUUCUGAGGAGGAAAGCCAGGAUGAAGAAGACUCAGAUAAAAAAGUCAUCCCACCAGGUCUGGAUGCAGUGUGACUGUAUCAGUCAGCUUUUGCUGGGUUAUGCCAAGUAACAAACAGGAUUCAGGCUGAAAGAUCAGCUAUGAAAUUGCUGGUUUUGAGGCACAGGAAAAAGAGUGAUGGCAGAACUGAGAAAUGACUUUAAAGCCUCUGCUCAGAAGUGGCUUAUAUCCCUCUGUUCACAUUUUAUUGGCCACAGAGAAUCACAUGAUCAAAUAUGUCUUCAGACUUGAUGGGCUUAGGGAGAUACCAUGCUCCCACAGGGAGGGGUGGUAACUAUUUGGCCAGCACAGAGUAGAUACCAACAGUUAUUAAACUGUUUGUUGAAUGAAUGAAUAGAUGAAUUCUCUGAUCCUGGAAGGAUUUAAAUAAAGAACGGAUGACCA